rnacentral:rRNA from 1 species
AUGUCUUCCUCCUCCGGCGUAUCUCACCCUAGCCUCAGUGGGCAGGUGAUCGAGAAACUCUCCCACACGAAUUACGUGCUAUGGCGCACACAGAUCACACCACAACUUCGUGGCACCGGUGUCUUCCAGUAUGUUGAUGGCACCUCGCCGGAGCCGACCAAGUUUCAAGCCGCCAAGGACAAGGACGGCAAGGACACGUUUGUGCCCAACCCUCUCCACCCCAUCUGGGUCUGGGAGGACUAG